AGUGAACGCUGGCGGUAGGCCUAACACAUGCAAGUCGAACGGCAGCACAGUAAGAGCUUGCUCUUACGGGUGGCGAGUGGCGGAAGGGUGAGGAAUACAUCGGAAUCUACUUUUUCGUGGGGGAUAACGUAGGGAAACUUACGCUAAUACCGCAUACGACCUACGGGUGAAAGCAGGGGAUCUUCGGACCUUGCGCGAUUGAAUGAGCCGAUGUCGGAUUAGCUAGUUGGCGGGGUAAAGGCCCACCAAGGCGACGAUCCGCAGCUGGUCUGAGAGGAUGACCAGCCACACUGGAACUGAGACACGGUCCAGACUCCUACGGGAGGCAGCAGUGGGGAAUAUUGGACAAUGGGCGCAAGCCUGAUCCAGCCAUACCGCGUGGGUGAAGAAGGCCUUCGGGUUGUAAAGCCCUUUUGUUGGGAAAGAAAAGCAGCAGGUUAAUACCCCGCUGUUCUGACGGUACCCAAAGAAUAAGCACCGGCUAACUUCGUG
rnacentral:rRNA from 1 species